rnacentral:rRNA from 1 species
AGCCAUGCAUGUUAAUGUAAUUAAGGACGAAUAGCUCAGUAAAACUACGUUUAUUUAAUCUGUUUGCAAAGAUAACUACGUGAAAAUGUAGCUAAGAAAACAGAAUAAGACGUAGGACUAUCAGUUAGUUGGUAGUGUAAUGGACUACCAAGACGAUAACGGUUAACGGGGAAUCAGGGUUUGAUACCGGAGAGGGAGCCUGAGAAAUUGCUCCCACGUCCAAGGACGGCAGCAGGCGCGAAAAUUGCCCACUCUUGUAGGAGGCAGUUAUGAGACGUUUUUAGUGUUUUUUAAAAAGAAACAUAGUAAUUGGAGGGCAAGUUUGGUGCCAGCAGCCGCGGUAAUACCGACUCCAAGAGUGUGUAUGAGAGAUGCUGCAGUUAAAAAGUCCGUAGUUUUUUAGAGGAACCAAUGGGGAUUAUAGUAUACAAGGGCGAGAGAUGAAAUGUCAGGACCCCUUGUGGACUAAGCGAGGCGAAGGCGAUAAUCUUGUAGGUAUUCGUUGAUCAAGGACGAAGGGUGGAGGAUCGAAAGUGAUUAGAUACCGCUGUAGUUCCACCAGUAAAAUAUGCCGACAUGCUUUUUGGUAACAAGAAGCAGGGAGAAAUCUUAGAGUUCGGGCUCUGGGGAUAGUAUGCUCGCAAGAGUGAAAAUUAAAGAAAUU